UAACUGCGAGGCAGGGGAUGGAGCACUCCCUUGGCCUGGUUGCGCUGAGGAAGGAGUUGUGGUUCAUCUGGAUGCUGCCGACUGGAUAGGAUUUAGGAUUUGCCUGGAUUAAGGUCAUCAAAGCCGAAUCCGAACUUGAAUUCUGUGCGGCGGAUUGCAGAGCUGUCUUGAGGCCCUGAGGACUGGGAUCUGCGACACCCAGUGGACAAAAGUCGGCCGUACCCCAGAGGCUAAUUUUCUCACGGCAGGCACCUGUUGCAGAGGCUGCAAGUAAAAUAAAGGCGAACGCUAGUUUCCGAGCUCAUGUAAGAA
rnacentral:sRNA from 1 species